rnacentral:rRNA from 1 species
ACACCUACGGGGGGCAGCAGUGGGGAAUAUUUGACAAUGGGCGCAAGCCUGAUCCAGCCAUGCCGCGUGAGUGAUGAAGGCCUUAGGGUAGUAAAGCUCUUUCACCGAUGAAGAUAAUGACUGUAGUCGGAUAAGAAGCCCCGGCUAACUUCGUGCCAGCAGCCGCGGUAA